UUUAAGGCAAUGAUGAAAGCACUAAACGGGACACAGUGAAAACUGUUGUCCGAGGGUAGCCUCUUUUGAAGGUAUUCUUUUCCCCAUUAACAGGUGUCAUAUUCAUAUCUAUACUGUCCUCCCCUCUGAGCUUGCUUUACUAACACUAGAAGAGCCGGAAGGAUUCCAACAAGGCACCAAGAGUUCCAGACAGCAAACAGAAUCACAGUGGCCGGGCAAGUCGCUGCUCCAUGGGGAAUGCACGGCACAGGAACAAGAACAGAAGCCGGAGACCUGUUAGCAGCUGACGGUGCCCUGGGGAAGGAUGAUGCUGGCCUGCACUUCAGGAUGGUGGUGAGCAAAAUAAGAAGUAGACAGGCAUGAGAUAGAAUUUUGUUUCUGAAACAGUGUAGAAGCUUUGUCUGGAUCACCGGAGUUUUGUUACUGUUAUUUUAUUACUCUUAAACACAAAGCUUGCAGACAGUGCGGACUUGUUCUAGCUCACAAGACCAGUGAAUAAGCCAGUGCAAAAUUCCAGCUAUGUCUAGGCACCGCUAUCGCCAUCCACAAAGUGCCCUACCUAAGGUCUUUUUUCCUCCCAGUCUUUUCUGCAUGUAACAGCCAUUCUAAUCUUCCUCAAACACUGCUUUCAUCAUGUUUACCUUGCUGAUAAGCCGGUGUGUGUAUUCACAGAGUUAUUGAGUAAUUGCAGUAACUGGGCUGGUAUGGGUGGGUGGGGUUUACAUACCUGAGAUACAUCUCUUGCCUCUAGGAUGUUAGAGUUUACCUGUGGGGACAUCACUAACCCCUAUGAAGUAAUGGAGAGUGUCUUAGUCACUUCUGGGUAAUUGAGAUAAAAUACCUAACACAAUUUAAAAGAGGAGAAGUGUAUUUUGGCUUCCAGUGUUUAGAUGAUUCAGUUCAUCCUUGGUGAACUCUGAGGCAGGAAGGGCAUGGUACAAGGAUCUGGGCACCAGAGGGCUGCUCAUCCCAUGGCAGCCACGAAGCAGAGAGAGAAGGGAGGCAUUGGGGACAAGAACACCCUUCCAGGUCACACCUCAGUGACCCACCUCCAACCAGGUCCCACCUCCUGACAGUACCUUCAGCUGUGAACUCACCAGGGGACUAAUAAGCUGAUUUUUAUGUACCCAUGGGUACUCACAAUCUAAUCAUCUUCUACACACUUGAGAAACUGGGGAGACCUUUUAGAUCUAAAGUGUAACAGAGGCAAAAAUAAAAAAGAGAUGAUGUAAUUAACAGGGUCUUCAUAAAAAUGACUUCUAUAACUUGAAAGAAAGAGAAUUUCAGCAAACACAAACAAAAAAAGGUGUUGGCUAAGAAAGAAAUAGGACAUACGAUAUUGUUUCCAUGGUAGAACGAGAGGAUUCCCUUGAGAAGAGAGCAUCUGCUAUGAGAAGUGGAGAAGCAAACUCGUUGGGUAAGCUGGGAGUGCUGGUGCACACUUAUAAUUCCAGCACUUGGGGAGGCUGAAGCAGGAGAACCACACUUUUGAGACCAGUUAGACUGUACAGCAAGACCCUGCCUCAAAAAAGAAAAAAAAAAAAAGGCUACCAGGUUUAGUCAUGGGGCUAAGAUGGUACCAGAACAUGGAUUUCUCAAAAGCUGGGAAUCAAGCAUUUGGACUUGAUUCAACCAAAUAUAAAUGUUAUUAAAGAUUUGUGGGCAAGGUUAAGUAUUAGUGAAGACUUAGCUGAGACCAGCAAUCAUUUCACCCUGCAAUUUCUAAGAAUUUAUCAUCUUUCAGAAUUCAUUAGGCACUUACCUUGCAACUGUUUGCUUUGUAACAUACACACCCUGUAUGUGUGCAACCAGCAUGGAAUAGGUGCAGGGAAAACAUUUGACGAGGAGGAAAGAACUGCACAAGGAAUAUUUAACAAUAGUAUGGCCUGGAUUGAAAAGAAAGCUAAGGAGAGGAGUGAGGAAGCUAUUUCAGAAAAAUAGCUGUGAAAGAAGAAAGGAAGAAGGGGUAGAUAUGAGAAAAUACUUUGAAAAUACGACUAAAGGUGCUGUAACUACAGAUAACUACAGAGGUUCCCUGAGAUAGUCCACUUAGAAUCCAAUGUAAUACAGAGUGGGGAGGCCCAAACAGAGGGAGAUUAAUUCUCUCAUCCCAAGAAGAAAUUAAAGUGACUUGCCGAGCCGUCCGAGGUCCCGCUGCUUGGACUCUCUGGAGGCACAGUUACAUUGAGUUCGAGAGUCAGUGAGCUGAACAGAGAGCUGAGUUGGCAGGGUGCCUACAUUGACCUGUGGUGAGCGACGGGAGUGGAGCCAUUCCAUAAAUAGGGGGGCUCCGGCAGAUGACAUUCUGGGACCAGGCAGGACUGGCAAGUACAAGGGGCAGCAGGGACUUCAGUCAGUUGUUCCCUUCCCAAACAGGAUUGGUGGACUGAGCUAGGCCUGGGUCACAUGACCUGGCUGACACCCUAUAGGUUAUCUGAAAUCAAGUCCCUACAGCUGUGGCACACACUAACCACACUAACCCAGUGAAAUCUCAGAAGAUUGACUGACCCGGAGGGAAGGUGGUGCAAAGUAAUAUAGUGCAGGCCACAGCAGCUUGACUGACCCGGAGGGGAGGGGCCAGCAUAUGCUGUCCUUGUCUGCAACUCACUAGCACACUGCAGUGUGAAGGGUCAUCUAGCCAGCGCACUUCAGAAGAAUUGUAACCAACAAAGAAAGAAACUGGGGCCUCCUUGGAAGAAGCAAAAAAGAUGGGAAGAGGGAGCAACAACAAAAAGUCCCCAGGUCCCAACCCUGAGAACAUUGACCCAGGAUAGGUAAAUACAAAGGAGAAUGAGAACAGCAAACAUGCAGUAUCAGAUACAGCGCCAGUGGACAUAAAGAGAUGUGUUCGGGACCUCAUAGAUGAGUUCAAAAGUGAAAUAUUAAGCCAAAUAAAGCAAGAUAUAAGAAGAUUAAUAAAAGAGAUACUAAGCACCCCUCAAGCAGACACAGAUGGAAGAAAGGAGGAACUCAAACAAAGGAGAGAACCAUUUGGUGAUGAAUAUAAAAAAAUAUAGAAUACAUGAAGCAGAUUCAAAGAGAUCACCAGAAAAUUUAAAAUUCUAUGGAAAGAUGGUAAAUCAGCUUGAAAGAAACUAAGGAUAGAUAAUCCAAACUGGAGGACAAUUUUGCAAUGUGGGAGUAUAAAAGGGAAAACUUUUAAAAAAUAACAAGGAAACAAGCAGUAACAAUACAAAGGCUAGAAGAUGACAAAAGGAUCUAUAACUUGAGAAUAAAGAAUGUGAAUGAAGAAGCUGGGGUACAAACAAUGGAACUACAAAGGUUAUUCACAGAAAUAAUUAAGAAAAGCUUCCCAAACAUAGGAAAAGGAAAUGAUAUUCUGAUAUAUGAGGCAUACAGAACUCCAGCCACCUAAAACAGAGCUACACCCAGGCAUAUAAUAAUCAAAAUCCCAGAAAUUCAAUAUAAGAACAGAAUAUUAAAAGCUGUUAGAGACAAGAAACAGAUAACCUACAGAGGAAGGCCCAUCAGAAUAACGGUAGACUUCUUGACACAAACCAUCAAGUCAAGAAGAAUCUAGAGUGAAAUAUUCCAAGCCCUGAAAGAAAAUAACCUCCAUCCCAGAUUGAUAUACCCUGCUAAACUGUAUCUAGAAAUUAUAUGGAGAAACAAGAUGCUUCCAAGACAAAGAGGAACUUGGGAAAUUCGCAACCACCAAUCCAACUCUACAGAGAAUACUGCAGGGCAUUCUAGAGAAAAAGAAAAGUACUAGGAUUCCAGGAACAGUGGCAGAGAGGCCUCAAUGAAUGGAGCAGAAAACAGAAUGAAGAAGAUAAGCAGACAACUGAUGGCUAAAAAAGAGCAUAACAAAAAUGAGGCAGAGAAGAUUUUUUUCAGAACUGAUAUGAUUGAUAGUAUCAAGUCUGAGAGUAUAGGCAACUACACUGAAGAUGUUAAGACUCUAUGAUACACAUUCUGGUUUGAUAACCACUGGUUUUUGAAGUUCUAUACUAUAUACAAAGUUGUGUUUUAUUAAUACUGUUAUGUGCUGAUAUAUUCAAUUAUACUAUGUCUGAUGAUAUAGCCAAUUCUAUUGGAGAUAACAAGAGACAACACAGGAACCAUGUUAGAACACUUUGUACAAUGGUCUUAUAUUGUUUAUUUUGGUCUUAUACUGUUUAUUUUGUUUCAUGUGUUUACAGGAAUACGUUUUGUUUUGCCUUGCUUUGGUUUGUUUCUCCCUCUAAUACAGAAAGGAUAGAAAUACAUGUUAAGACUCAUGCAUGUGUAGAAUCUAUAAACAGUUUAUGAGAACUGAUCUUAUGACACAUGAUGAAAUGAAUAGAUACUUUGAAGAAAAAGAUACACUAAAAUAUCCAGUGCUGAUCCUGGAAUGUCAUAAUGUGAAACCCAGCAAUAGUAUUAUUCUUUGUUCAGAGUGAUAUUAGCCUGCUUGGGUUUAUUCAAUAUCAACGUAAUUGAAGAUAUGGAUAACUGCAUGUAUGUUUAAGUGUAUAGGAUUGAUAACCAUAUUUCUAAGUUUUUGUUGGAUAGUUGAACAGAACUGGUUGCAGUCUCACUGUUUGAAUCCCCACUUUAUAUGCUCCACUUUAGUAUCUUGAAAAACUAUUUGUAAGAAGACAAUCUGUAAUCAUCAACUAGUGAUUUCUUACUGUUUAUUUUUUCUUUGAAAUUAUGUAUUAUUUCUACUAGUUUUCUGUUUUGUUUAUUCUUUCUUUAAAUUAAAUCUUAAAAAAAAGACACUACAGUACCCAAUGCUGAUCACGGAGUGUCAUGAUAUGAAAUCCAACAAUACUAUUAUUCUUUGUUCAGAAUGAUUUUAACCUGCUUUAGUUGUUUAAUCUAAACAUGGAUGAAGAUAUGGAUAUGCAUGUAUGCUUAAGUGUAUAGGAUUGACAACCAUGUUACUAAGUUUUUGUUGGACAGUUGAACAGAACUGUUUGCAGUCUCUCUGUUUGAAUUCACACUUUACAUGUUCCAUUUUUGUAUCUUGAACAACUGUUUGUAAAAUGACAAUAUAUAAACAUGAACUAGCGAUUUUUUACUAUUUAUUUAUUUUCUCUGAAUGUAUGUAUUUUUUCUACCUAUUUUCUGUUUUGUUUAGUCUUUCUUUAAAUAAAAUUUUUUAAAAAAAUGUGCUGUAACCAA